rnacentral:rRNA from 1 species
GACGUAGGGGCGCGAGCGUUGUCCGGAUUUAUUGGGCGUAAAGAGCGUGUAGGCGGUCCGGUAAGUCAGCUGUGAAAGUCAAGGGCUCAACCCUUGAAAGCCGGUUGAUACUGUCGGGCUAGAGUCCGGAAGAGGCGAGUGGAAUUCCCCGGUGCAGCGGUGAAAUGCGCAGAUAUCGGGAGGAACACCAAUGGCGAAGGCAGCUCGCUGGGACGGUACUGACGCUGAGACGCGAAAGCGUGGGGAGCAAACAGGG